UACGGAAGGCAGCAGUGGGGAAUAUUGCACAAUGGGCGCAAGCCUGAUGCAGCCAUGCCGCGUGUAUGAAAAAGGCCUUCGGGUUGUAAAGUACUUUCAGUCGUGAGGAAGGUGUUAAGGUUAAUAACCUUAGCAAUUGACGUUAGCGACAGAAGAAGCACCGGCUAACUCCGUGCCAGCAGCCGCGGUAAUACGGAGGGUGCGAGCGUUAAUCGGAAUUACUGGGCGUAAAGGGCACGCAGGCGGUUAAUUAAGUUGGAUGUGAAUCCCCGGGCUUAACCUGGGAAUGGCAUUCAAGACUGGUUAGCUAGAGUCUUGUAGAGGGGGUAGAAUUCCAUGUGUAGCGGUGAAAUGCGUAGAGAUGUGGAGGAAUACCGGUGGCGAAGGCGGCCCCUGGACAAAGACUGACGCUCAUGUGCGAAAGCGUGGGGAGCAAACAGGGAUUAGAUA
rnacentral:rRNA from 1 species